UACGUGACAUCUGAACGCCAUUCUUGUUUUACUUUCGACGAAGAGUUGAUGGCGAAGCCUUCUUUUGUGGUGUUAACGGUUUUUUCAUAAACAGCGCUGUAGAAAUGUCCAAAUAUUGCAUAUGGAAUGUCUCUUGUCACGUUUACGUCAAAACUUCCGUCAAUUGUCAUCGAAUAAAAACAAAAAAGAGGCAGAUUUUCAAUUCUGCAUUUCGGAAAUGAUUAAGAAGAAGAUGUCGGCAUGGAUGAGCAGCAGUGAUUUCUCCAACAACAUUACGUGCCACCUCACUAUGCUGUUUCUGUUAUUUAAACCAAUUAUUUCCCAAUUGAUUGGACUGAAAUAUUACCAGAUUUGACUCUGCCGGACUUCUUCCUUUAAAUUUACAUCACUUCGACCAAAUACUUCGGUUGAACAAAAAGUCAGAAUCCUAGAAAAAGUUCAGGGAAUAAUUCUUGAUACCUUAGGGAAUUAUUAAGAAGAAUUUAAAAACUGUUUAGGAGUUGCCCAAGAUGAGGCCUUUAAAAAUAUAGAUGGUACCAAUUUUUCUCAGUUGUGCACCAGUUAACUGUGCACUGAAAUUACAAACACCUUCAAGAAAGUUAUUUUGAACAGCAAUAUAAUGGCACCAACUAUGGUUUUCAUGUAGUCUAACUUUUGAAGACAAUUCCUCAGUUUAACAGAGUUGUGUGGACAAACAGUGUCCGACAAAUUCAUUGCCGCCCAGAGAUCGACAACUCUUCUGCUUUCCAAGAUCAGAAGAUCUGCGGCGGCAAUGGUUGGAAAGAAUGAGCAGGCCAGAUCUCAUGGAGUUGUCACAUGCUCAAUUACAUGGGAGAAGGCUGCGCGUUUGUGAGCGCCAUUUCAACGGCAAUCAGUUUCAGACGUCAGACCGGAAGAAGUUAACUGCACACCAAAUCCCUCGACGUGCAAAUUUAGAAGACAAUCCCGAUUCUCCUGCCAAUACUCCAUCCGGUACAUCCAUUCCCUGCAUGUCUUCUAAAUUUGAGACUCCUAAGUUGAGGAGGUGCAAAGGUCGAACAUCACAAGUUACUCCGAAGGAGCGGAAGCUGUUGGCCAGGUUAAAGAACGCUGAAACCAUUUUACGUUAUCGGAAGAAGCGUAUCCAGUACUUGUCUCAAUCCCAAAAAGUUUAUCCAAAUCCCUUUUCCCCAUCUAGCUUAACCAAUAUCCAACAAAUACAUACCCUACCUAAACCUCUCCGUGUUUUUAUUCUUUCCCUCCUUCGAAAUUUCCAUGUAUCCAAAAAAAACCGCCGUUAUACCUUAGAAGAGAAAGCCCUAUUCCUCUCCAUUUUCAAACACGGUCCCCGCUCCUACCGAUACCUGCAAAAGAUCCUUUCCCUACCGUCUACAAGAACAUUAAGACGAUCCCUUGCAACUUUCCAACUAACCAGCGGAAUCAACCUAAAUUUAUUUACCUAUCUGAAGAGUGUUUCAAGUAAAAUGGCUCUCCGUGACCGUUUCUGCACACUUAUGUUUGAUGAGAUGGACACUGGAAAGAAUUUGAAUUUGAAGGUAACUGAAAAUAGUUCUAAUCGUUGAGUAACGAUAGUCAUUUUUAUGUUACGCUACGUAAACGUUAUAAGAAAGCGUGGUUAUUUAAGAAAAAGUCUUCAAUUGUUGAAUUUUUGGUUGUGAUAAGGCUUUUUCGUUACGUUAUUGUGGAUUUGGACUCGCUUUUCUUUGGAAAUCAUAUCGAUUUACGCCGAUGUAUUCGGAUUUAAAACGUUAAACACGUGAGACGUUCUUUAAAGCCGCCUAAAAACUAAGGUACGUUAUUCUAUUGUGUAGAUUUUGAUUAAUAAUUGGAUUCUUUUCUCAUUGUAGACUUUUUUUUUUACUUUUUUUAUCUUCGUUUUCAUUUGCAAUUUUAUUUCUACUUUCAUCUUUUGAAAUUGCUAUUGCUGCGUCAUAUAAUUUUUUUGUGAAAAUGGUUUGGUGACAUUUCAACCUUUUGAAACCUUGGAAAUAUCGAAUGGGUUGGCAUCUCUGGUUGAAAGUUUGGAUUUGUUGACAUUAACCUACAAGACGUAAAUUUGGUGAAACUUGGAAAUUUGGAACUUGGAAGUUUGGGGGAACAGAGAAAUUUUGGAGAGAAGGUGAAGAUCUGAUUAUAGAAUAAAUUAAGUGAUUCAGAUAAGAUAUAUAUAUA
rnacentral:misc_RNA from 1 species